rnacentral:lncRNA from 1 species
CACCUCCUGCAGGCUCUCCUGGAUUGGCUCACCUCCUGCAUUCUCCUAGCCAUUUACCUUAUUUCUGCUGUUGCUAGGCCAUAUUGGUUAAGAUUCCAUCACAAUUGCCUUGAUGUGGUAGAGGGCAAGUUUCCACUGUCUCUGUGUUCCAUGUCCCUACAUCCACCAGCUCAUCUAGCUAGGUCUUGGUAAUUUAAUAUAUGCUGAUUUCCUUAGUCAAAGUAGAUCCUCUAAAGGAGAAUGCACUUCACUGCUUCUCUGGAUACAUCAUGUCUAAGGGAAGGAACAAUGAUCUUAACAGAAGGCCCAUUAGCAAUAUUUGUCUUCCACCCCAAUCCCGAACAAAACAUAAGAGGAGAACUCCUGCUUACAGUAUCUGCAUCUUGUCAUACUAUCAAGCCCUUUCUUGUGAGCAGAGCCCCCAAGGGGGGUGGAAGGGCCAAGCCUCUGGUUUGAGUAAUGGAGCAGGUACCCAUUCAGAUGAGGAAGCAGGGCAGGAAAGCCUGCAGUGCUGUUGGUGAGUGAUUGAUUGCUCGGAGAAGAUGGGGGAGGGAAGUGCCCGGCACCUGCAGAACACUUGUGUGAACCACACCAAACUGAGCCGAAGCACUGAAGUCCUUUCCCAUCUCUAGUACAAGGCCAGACAAGAUCAGUAGCAUAAGAUGAAUUGAAGCCUAUGGACUAGCAUAUCUGCAGUAUACUUUUAAAAUA